rnacentral:rRNA from 1 species
CCUACGGGUGGCAGCAGUGAGGAAUAUUGGUCAAUGGGCUUACGCCUGAACCAGCCAAGUCGCGUGAGGGAAGACUGCCCUAUGUGUUGUAAACCUCUUUUGUCAGGGAGCAACUCCUGCUACGUGUAGCCGGACUGAGCGUACCUGAAGAAAAGGCAUCGGCUAACUCCGUGCCAGCAGCCGCGGUAAUACGGGGGAUGCGAGCGUUAUACGGAUUUAUUGGGUUAAAGGGGUGCAUAGGCGGAAUGCCAGGUCCGCGGUAAAAGCGCGGGGCUCAACCUCGCUCCGCCGUUGAAACUGGCGUUCUGGAGCGGGCGAGAAGUAUGCGGAAUGCGUGGUGUAGCGGUGAAAUGCAUAGAUAUCACGAAGAACUCCGAUUGCGAAGGCAGAAUACCGGCGCCCAACUGACGCUGAAGCACGAAAGCGUGGGUAUCGAACAGGAUUAGAUACCCGAGUAGUC